GUCUGAACAGCUGAUGCAUGAUGGGAAAUUUGAUAAGCAAUUGACCUUCGGCAGCCCCAGGACCACGUGUUUCAGUUAUCACAGGGUCUUCGGUGAUGUGAGCUGCAUCCGAGAAGCGAGGAGUGGAUGCCGUGUGUGCUAAUUGAGCCAUGCAGCUCCGCCGAGGCGUUAAUGUGCUCUUUACUGAUUGAUUUGAAUAAUAACCAUUUGGAAUUUUCAUACUCUGUACCCCAGGGCUCAGAUGGUAUCAAAACCAAUAUUUACUAACGUUGCAUUUGUCCUAGUUAGACCUUAAGGCACUUUUCUCAUACGCUUAAGGUUUGGUCAUGAAAACUGGAGACUCCACACCACCACCUCCAACACCCACUCACACUCACCCACACCCUCCCCCAUAUACUCUGUGCAUAAAUGAGAUAAACAAAAAAAUCAGGGAAUAAUUCAGAAUAAUAACAGAAUAUAGAGUAAAGCAGAGAGAUAACAAUCUUUAGCUAGACUUUCUGGAUCCUGUUGAUGUUGAGGGCUUAGAAUUGGCUCUAUACAUUCAGAAAAUAAAUAGUCCAACCUCCUGCUUCUGUCCCCAAAUCACUGACUCCAAAAUGAGUCCCUCAGAUAAAGUGGGUGCUGUGGGAGCCCUGCCAAUGAGCAGGAAGAGCUGGGCUGCCGGGGCCUCUGUUAGUAAGCCAGGGGACCUCUUGUCCAGACCCUCCACUGGGCUGUUCACAUAACUAUUAGGAAAUAAAUCAGGAUCUCCAGA